rnacentral:misc_RNA from 1 species
AUAAAAGAAUAACUAAAAGAAAGUCUUGAGACAGGGAAAGUCUUGGAGUUUCACUUUCUUGAAAUUACAACAGUAUAAUAUAGUUCAUAAUUACUGAUCAAAUUUUUUGACAACAUUUUUCUAUGUGAAGUCCGUUAUUAAGAAGGGGAGGGGGGUGUUGUGGCUUAACACAACAAUUUUUAUGUUUGAUUGAUAUUACAAAUAAUGGAAACUCCACUGCACUCCAAGCAACAAAUCCCAAAAUCUAUCAAAAGAAUCAAAAAAAGAAAAAAAAAACUUUGCAAAACAAAUAUCAAUGUAUCUGCUAUUCUGCCCUUUAUACAACAAUCCACAGAGCUCAUUCUCUUGCUUGUCCAACUCAAAACUUUUCGUCGAUGACCAAAUUUUCGGGAGAUAAAAACAUACCCCUUGUUCCUUCUCCCUGAGUUUGAGCUCUAUUUUGAUAUCAUACAACAUGUUCUACAAUGCUGCUUACUUAAUCACAGUCCAAGCCACAUACCUCUAAACUGAGUCCACCUUUGGCGGUGAAUGGGUUGAGACGCACCCACAAUAAGGAGCAGAUAGAUGCGAGAAGGAUGGACCAGACAAUAAUGAUGGUUGGAACGUUGUUUUGUCUACCCAUGCAACCCUUGAGGAAGGGAUACAGAUGAACAAUGACCCAUAAGGCGAAGAAGAGUCUACCAAAUAGAGGACCCCAAGAAUCAUAACCAUUGUUGAUUGCGUCUGAGACACCGACUAUAACUCCAAUGAUGUUAAGAAUUAACAAAGUCAUAGGAGGAAUCAACAAAGAUGUCCACUUGAACAGAUAGAGCUCAGAAAACUCCCCAUCGUCCGCUGCUUUGGAAGUAACAGUGAAGCUAGUGUUGACACCAGCUAAAACUUUAAGAAGACCUUGGAAAAGAGCAAAUAGGUGAGAUGAGGCACCACCAAUCACCCAAAACUGCUCGUUUCUCCACCAGUCAUCAAUAGUAACACCUCCCCAUUGCAUCUCAAUAACACUCGUCACAGCAAUCAUUAUGAAAAGUGCCAUGAAAAGAAUGCUAGCAUAGUUGCUAAUCUCUGGAACAAUAAAUUUCCCUGUAAGCAAACAGACGGCCGGCAAUGCACAAUAUAUGAUCAAUGGAAUAGAAGUCAAUGGGUAGACCACUGAGUUUAUGUACGAAAACCGCUCCAGAGGCUUCAGACCACACCCAUAUCCAUACCAAAUUGGACAAUGUCUACUGAAGAAAAUUUCAACAGAUCCCAAAGCCCAUCGCAGAACCUGAUGAAGACGAUCUGAAAGAUUUAUAGGAGCUGACCCUUUAAAUGCAGGCCUAUUGGGCAUGCAGUAGACGGAUCUCCAACCAUGGCAGUGCAUCUUGAAUCCAGUAAGGAUAUCCUCAGUAACAGAUCCAUAAAUCCAUCCAAUCUCUUUGCCCCA